rnacentral:tRNA from 1 species
GCGGGCGUGGUGAAAUUGGUAGACGCGCGGGACUCAAAAUCCCGUUUCCUUAACGGAAGUGUCGGUUCGAGCCCGACCGCCCGCACCA